rnacentral:rRNA from 1 species
AACGAACGCUGGCGGCAGGCCUAACACAUGCAAGUCGAGCGCUCCGCAAGGAGAGCGGCGGACGGGUGAAUAACACGUGGGAAUAUGACCUUCGGUACGGAAUAACCCAGGGAAACUUGGGCUAAUACCGUAUACGCCCCAAGGGGGAAAGAUUUAUCGCCGAAGGAUUAGCCCGCGUUGGAUUAGCUAGUUGGUGAGGUAACGGCCCACCAAGGCGACGAUCCAUAGCUGGUUUGAGAGAACGAUCAGCCACACUGGGACUGAGACACGGCCCAGACUCCUACGGGAGGCAGCAGUGGGGAAUCUUGGACAAUGGGGGAAACCCUGAUCCAGCCAUGCCGCGUGAGUGACGAAGGCCUUCGGGUUGUAAAACUCUUUCGCGUGCGACGAUAAUGACGGUAGCGCGAGAAGAAGCUCCGGCUAACUUCGUGCCAGCAGCCGCGGUAAAAC